GGAUAAAAGGUACUCCGGGGAUAACAGGCUGAUACCGCCCAAGAGUUCAUAUCGACGGCGGUGUUUGGCACCUCGAUGUCGGCUCAUCACAUCCUGGGGCUGAAGUAGGUCCCAAGGGUAUGGCUGUUCGCCAUUUAAAGUGGUACGCGAGCUGGGUUUAGAACGUCGUGAGACAGUUCGGUCCCUAUCUGCCGUGGGCGCUGGAGAAUUGAGGGGGGCUGCUCCUAGUACGAGAGGACCGGAGUGGACGCAUCACUGGUGUUCGGGUUGUCAUGCCAAUGGCACUGCCCGGUAGCUAAAUGCGGAAGAGAUAAGUGCUGAAAGCAUCUAAGCACGAAACUUGCCCCGAGAUGAGUUCUCCCUGAGACU
rnacentral:rRNA from 1 species